GCUUAGCCUCAGCAUCAGCGGCCCUGCCCGCCCAGCGGACCUCGCUUCCCAGAGGGGCGCCUGCCAAGGGGGUCCGAGACGGGCUGGGCCAAAGUUCCCCGGACGGCGCCCGCUGCCCGGGCUGGAUUCCUGCUAACGGGUUCCAGGCAUCAGCACGGCCGCAGAGCCCUCCUGUCCCAUCCUAGGUGAGUGCCCACAGGGUGGCACGGUGAUGGGACGAGCGGAUCCACGUACAGUGCCUCAGAGCACGCCAGCCACGCAGUGGGUGCCCACGAGUGGACGUUUCGGCCGUGGCCAGCCAAGGAAGCAGGAUCCUUGUGCCGGACCCUGGAUUUGCAAUGAAAAGCUCUCCCCCGACCCUCAGAUGCCCUCCACCGUAACUGAAGGAUGAGCUGCACAGGGCUCCAGGCGGCAGACGACUGGCUCGGGACCCCUAACUGUGACUGCGGACAGACACACAGCUCAGGGCACCAGGCUGCUCCGCCGUCUCCCUGAGGCCCAGCUCCGGCACCAACCUGGAGGCUCCGGACCCCUCCCUCAGGUGCUGGGGAUGCAGCCCCCGACUCCAGUCUAAGGCAGCAUGGGGAGCAGCCCAGUGCCCACCAGGCUUCCCACGGCAGCGCCAUGGGGCCUACGGUCCUUGGCUGGAGACUGUGAAGGGGGCUCGUAAAAUGACCACUGAGGACCGGCGGGAACUGCAGGGCACGGGCACAGAGCC